AUAAGAUGAAUGUCGCAAAGACGUUCGAAGCGCGGUCUAGUCUCGGGAGGACGUGAUUUUCGGCGCCGGACUUAUCGGCUGCCCCGAACAAUGUAUUCGGCGUAAAAUCCAGACCUGCAGGACUCAAAUGCAAGACGAAGGUCUUGCAUUUUUUU
rnacentral:sRNA from 1 species